rnacentral:rRNA from 1 species
GAUGAACGCUGGCGGCGUGCCUAAUACAUGCAAGUCGAGCGAACGGACGAGAAGCUUGCUUCUCUGAUGUUGGCGGCGGACGGGUGAGUAACACGUGGAUAACCUACCUAUAAGACUGGGAUAACUUCGGGAAACCGGAGCUAAUACCGGAUAAUAUUUUGAACCGCAUGGUUCAAAAGUGAAAGACGGUCUUGCUGUCACUUAUAGAUGGAUCCGCGCUGCAUUAGCUAGUUGGUAAGGUAACGGCCUACCAAGGCAGCGAUGCAUAGUCGACCUGAGAGGGUGAUCGGCCACACUGGAACUGAGACACGGUCCAGACUCCUACGGGAGGCAGCAGUAGGGAAUCUUCCGCAAUGGGCGAAAGCCUGACGGAGCAACGCCGCGUGAGUGAUGAAGGUCUUCGGAUCGUAAAACUCUGUUAUUAGGGAAGAACAUAUGUGUAAGUAACUGUGCACAUCUUGACGGUACCUAAUCAGAAAGCCACGGCUAACUACGUG